rnacentral:rRNA from 1 species
GUGAACGCUGGCGGUAGGCCUAACACAUGCAAGUCGAACGGCAGCACAGUAAGAGCUUGCUCUUACGGGUGGCGAGUGGCGGACGGGUGAGGAAUACAUCGGAAUCUACUUUUUCGUGGGGGAUAACGUAGGGAAACUUACGCUAAUACCGCGUACGACCUACGGGUGAAAGCAGGGGAUCUUCGGACCUUGCGCGAUUGAAUGAGCCGAUGUCGGAUUAGCUAGUUGGCGGGGUAAAGGCCCACCAAGGCGACGAUCCGUAGCUGGUCUGAGAGGAUGAUCAGCCACACUGGAACUGAGACACGGUCCAGACUCCUACGGGAGGCAGCAGUGGGGAAUAUUGGACAAUGGGCGCAAGCCUGAUCCAGCCAUACCGCGUGGGUGAAGAAGGCCUUCGGGUUGUAAAGCCCUUUUGUUGGGAAAGAAAAGCAGCAGGUUAAUACCCCGCUGUUCUGACGGUACCCAAAGAAUAAGCACCGGCUAACUUCGUG